rnacentral:rRNA from 1 species
GAAAGUAGGAAAGGGCGCAUGGCGGAUGCCUUGGCUCUCGGAGGCGAUGAAGGACGUGAUAAGCUGCGAUAAGUCACGGGGAGGUGCAAAUAACCUUUGAUCCGUGAAUCUCCGAAUGGGACAACCCGAUAUCCUGAAGGGAUAUCACCUUACAUAGUAAGGAGCUAACGCAGGGAACUGAAACAUCUUAGUACCUGCAGGAAAAGAAAAUAACAAUGAUUCCCCCAGUAGUGGCGAGCGAACGGGGAAGAGCCCAAACCACACAUGUUACGGCAUGUGUGGGGUUGUAGGACCACGGCGUUGCAAGAAAUCUUGUGAGAAGAACAGCCUGGAAAGACUGACCAUAGACGGUGACAGUCCGGUAUUCGAAGCAAGACGAAGCAUAGUGGUAUCCUGAGUAGCGCGGAACACGAGGAAUUCUGCGUGAAUCUGCCGGGACCAUCCGGUAAGGCUAAAUACUCCCGAGAGACCGAUAGCGAACCAGUACCGUGAGGGAAAGGUGAAAAGCACUUCGAACAGAAGAGUGAAAUAGUUCCUGAAACCGUGCGCCUACAAGCGGUCGGAGCUCGUUAAUGAGUGACGGCGUGCCUUUUGCAUAAUGAACCUACGAGUUGCCUUUGCCGGCAAGGUUAAGUGUGACGACACACGUAUCCGAAGCGAAAGCGAGUCUGAACAGGGCGUAUAGUCGGCAGUGGCAGACGCGAAACCAAGUGAUCUACCCUUGGCCAGGUUGAAGGCUGGGUAACACCAGCUGGAGGACCGCACCAAUAAGCGUUGAAAAGCUUCUGGAUGAGCUGAGGGUAGGGGUGAAAGGCUAAUCAAACUUGGAGAUAGCUCGUACUCCCCGAAAUGCAUUUAGGUGCAGCCUCGCGGGUUACUGAUGUGAGGUAGAGCGACUGAUUGGAUGCGAGGGCUUCACCGCCUAUCAAGUCCUGACAAACUCCGAAUGCGCAUCAGUUUUACCGCGGGAGUGAGGGCAUGGGUGCUAAGGUCCGUGCCCGAGAGGAGAAGAAUCCGGACUAUCAGCUAAGGCCCCGAAAUGACAGCUAAGUUAAACUAACGAAGUCUGAUUGCUAAGACAGCUAGGAUGUUGGCUUGGAAGCAGCCAUUCAUUUAAAGAGUGCGUAACAGCUCACUAGUCGAGGAGUCGGGCGUGGAUAAUAAUCGGGUAUCAAGUUGUCUACCGAAGCAGUGGGAUCAUUUAUAUGAUCGGUAGGGGAGCAUUCCAGUCAGCGUCGAAGGCGUACCGUGAGGUAUUCUGGAGCGUCUGGAAAAGCAAAUGUAGGUAUAAGUAACGAUAAAGGGGGCGGGAAACCCCCUCGCCGAAAGACUAAGGUUUCCUGAUCAACGCUAAUCGGAUCAGGGUCAGUCGGGUCCUAAGGCUCAGCCGAACGGCGAUGCCGAUGGCAGAAACGGUUAAUAUUCCGUUACUACCUUCAGGAGUGACGUGGAGACGCAGUAGUGACAGUGCCGCCAUCUGACGGAAUAGAUGGUUGAAGGGUGUAGGAGUCGAUCAUGGCAGGCAAAUCCACCAUGAGAUCCGAACCUGAGAGUAUGCCGCGUCCUUCGGGACAAGGCAAUAGUGCGCGUAAGCAUGCUGCCGAGAAAAUCCGCUAAACUUAAUCCUGCAGGUACCCGUACCGCAAACGGACACACGUAGUCGGGAUGAAUAUUCUAAGGCGCUUGAGUGAUUCACGGUUAAGGAACUAGGCAAACUGACCCUGUAACUUCGGGAUAAAGGGUCCCUACCCUUUUAUGGGAGGGCGCAGAGAAUCGGUCCAGGCAACUGUUUAACAAAAACACAGGGCUGUGCCAAAUCGAAAGAUCCAGUAUACAGCCUGACACCUGCCCGGUGCUGGAAGGUUAAGAGGAGAUGUCAUCGAUAAGAGAAGCGUUGAAUUGAAGCCCCAGUAAACGGCGGCCGUAACUAUAACGGUCCUAAGGUAGCGAAAUUCCUUGUCGGGUAAGUUCCGACCUGCACGAAUGG